rnacentral:lncRNA from 1 species
UCCCCCUCUCUGCGUGUCUCCCCCAUGGAGCAAAUAUAUCAUGAGAAUAACUGCCUUCCUUUGUCUGGAUUCAUCAGCUGUCAUCCCUGAACUGCUGACUCCUGGCCACCAAAGGAUUAUGAAGCUUUUAUUCUCAAAGGAGAAACACUGGCUAAGGAGACUGAAAACUCUUCCAAGAGAUCCUUUUCUCAUUAAUGGACUGACCUGGUAGACAACUGAGAGUGAUCUUUUACUCCAUUUCCAAGAGUGACUCACCCACUGCAAACCAUUUGAUAGCUCUUCUUCAGACCGUUUGGAGAUACUCUUCUGAGCCUUCACAGUAAGAAUAGCUGUUUUCAUGCCAGACCAAUUUUUCCUGCCAAAUUUAUGAGAUUGUUGAAUAGAGCUUUAUAAUGGGAGCUGGCUGCAACCUUAAGUACAGGGCGGCUAAUAUCUCCAUAUAAUAAUAGAGGAGUGUAUUCUGUUUGUGUAAUUCAAAUAAUAAUGUUGAAAUUGAGGAGAGACAGGAACUAUUUCCAUAUCAUUAAACAAAAUUGAAAGGAGUAAAAUGUUCUGAAAAGAGAAGAGGAAAAUGAUAGCUAUUUUUUAUUUACUCCCUCUGUUCUCUACUUACACUUUCUCCCUUUUUUUUCUCCCUUCUCAUUUCUUUUGCCACCAACUUCCAUAUUUUUAAUUAGUAGGUAGUGGCAUGGGUUUCAGAGAUAGCAUUAAAAGGAAGUUGUCAAGCUAGGUUUUAUGCUGCAUGAACUGAGAAACUGCAGGUGCUGUGUUUGCCAAAAAUGGUCCCAGGUGAAAGUUAUUACUGCAAAGGGCAGGUUUGUCUCAAGAUUACCUUAUUCAGAAACAUAAUUUCUUUCAUAUCAAAGACGCACAAAAGCAUUUCCCAUCUCCUAAGCCACUAAGCAUGAGAGUUGGGACACAAUGUAAAACUGCUUGUGCUGAUCCCUAUGUUUUUAUUUUAAGGCAGAACUCUUUCUCAUCCUGAUAGAGUUCAGGCUAUAUUGUUCCUAAAGCUGGUAA